rnacentral:rRNA from 1 species
UACGAAGGGGGCUAGCGUUGCUCGGAAUCACUGGGCGUAAAGGGUGCGUAGGCGGUUCUUUAAGUCAGGGGUGAAAUCCUGGAGCUCAACUCCAGAACUGCCUUUGAUACUGAGGAUCUUGAGUACGGGAGAGGUGAGUGGAACUGCGAGUGUAGAGGUGAAAUUCGUAGAUAUUCGCAAGAACACCAGUGGCGAAGGCGGCUCACUGGCCCGUUACUGACGCUGAGGCACGAAAGCGUGGGGAGCAAACAGG